rnacentral:rRNA from 1 species
GAUGAACGCUGGCGGCGUGCCUAACACAUGCAAGUCGAACGAAGCACUUGAAGUUUUCGGAUGGAGAGUGACUGAGUGGCGGACGGGUGAGUAACGCGUGGAUAACCUGCCUCAUACAGGGGGAUAACAGUUAGAAAUGACUGCUAAUACCGCAUAAGCGCACAGUACCGCAUGGUACGGUGUGAAAAACUCCGGUGGUAUGAGAUGGAUCCGCGUCUGAUUAGCUAGUUGGCGGGGUAACGGCCCACCAAGGCGACGAUCAGUAGCCGACCUGAGAGGGUGACCGGCCACAUUGGGACUGAGACACGGCCCAA